GGAUGUGAAGGCGAUCUGGCUGCAACAUGUCACCCCAUUGAUUGCCAGGGUUGAUUCAGCUGAUCUGGCUGGUUAGGAGGGUGUCCCCUUCCUCCCUCACCGCUCCAUGUACGUCCCUCCUGAAGCUGCGCGCUUGGUCAAAGAGGACAACCAUCCCCGACAGAGGAGGACCAUUCUUUGGUCAAGGGUACACAAGUAGCUGCGCUCCCCUGUUAGAACCUCCAAACAAGCUCUCAAGAAAUAUAUGAAUACAUAAAUACAUAAAUAAGAAUUCACCAGCUUACAGAAACAGCUUCAUUU
rnacentral:snRNA from 1 species